rnacentral:rRNA from 1 species
GAUGAACGCUGGCGGCGUGCCUAAUACAUGCAAGUCGAGCGAACAGACGAGGAGCUUGCUCCUUCGACGUUAGCGGCGGACGGGUGAGUAACACGUAGGUAACCUACCUAUAAGACUGGGAUAACUUCGGGAAACCGGAGCUAAUACCGGAUAAUAUUUCGAACCGCAUGGUUCGAUAGUGAAAGAUGGCUUUGCUAUCACUUAUAGAUGGACCUGCGCCGUAUUAGCUAGUUGGUAAGGUAACGGCUUACCAAGGCAACGAUACGUAGCCGACCUGAGAGGGUGAUCGGCCACACUGGAACUGAGACACGGUCCAGACUCCUACGGGAGGCAGCAGUAGGGAAUCUUCCGCAAUGGGCGAAAGCCUGACGGAGCAACGCCGUGUGAGUGAUGAAGGUCUUCGGAUCGUAAAACUCUGUUAUUAGGGAAGAACAAACGUGUAAGUAACUGUGCACGUCUUGACGGUACCUAAUCAGAAAGCCACGGCUAACUACGUG